rnacentral:rRNA from 2 species
AGGUGCGAUCAUACCAGCACUAAUGCAGCAGAUCCCAUCAGAACUCCGUGUUCAAGUGUGCUGGGGCGAGAGUAGUACGAGGAUGGGUGACCUCCUGGGAUGUCCUCGUGUUGCACCUC